rnacentral:rRNA from 1 species
UACAGAGGGUGCAAGCGUUAAUCGGAUUUACUGGGCGUAAAGCGCGCGCAGGCGGUUUUUCAAGUCAGUGGUGAAAGCCCGGAGCUCAACUCCGGAACUGCCAUUGAAACUGUGAAACUUGAGGAUGAGAGAGGUGAGUGGAAUUCCCAGUGUAGAGGUGAAAUUCGUAGAUAUUGGGAAGAACACCGGUGGCGAAGGCGGCUCACUGGCUCAUUUCUGACGCUCAGGCGCGACAGCGUGGGGAUCAAACAGG